ensembl:miRNA mir-786 ncRNA
CGAAUAUCAGUUGGGGUAUUUACA